GUUUUAUGCUCAGCACAGAAGUAGUAAAAAAAAUGUUAUGGUAAAAUUUGUAUGGAAUCUAGUAAAGAAAAACUUACCAAAUGUGGCACAGCCGAAAGUAGUCC